AGGUAAGCUACUAAGAGCGAAUGGUGGAUGCCUUGACUGGUAAAGGCGAUGAAGGACGUACUAGACUGCGAUAAGCUACGGGGAGCUGUCAAGAAGCUUUGAUCCGUAGAUUUCCGAAUGGGGCAACCCAAUGUAUAGAGAUAUACAUUACCUAUAUAGGAGCGAACGAGGGGAAUUGAAACAUCUUAGUACCCUCAGGAAAAGAAAUCAAUAGAGAUUGCGUCAGUAGCGGCGAGCGAAAGCGCAAGAGGGCAAACCCAGUGCUUGCACUGGGGGUUGUAGGACUGCAAUGUGCAAGAGGUAAGUUUAGCAGAACAUUCUGGAAAGUAUAACCAUAGAGGGUGAUAGUCCCGUAUGCGAAAAACAAACCUUAGCUAGCAGUAUCCUGAGUAGGGCGGGACACGAGGAAUCCUGUCUGAAUCCGGGUCGACCACGAUCCAACCCUAAAUACUAAUACCAGAUCGAUAGUGCACAAGUACCGUGAGGGAAAGGUGAAAAGAACUGAGGUGAUCAGAGUGAAAUAGAACCUGAAACCAUUUGCUUACAAUCAUUCAGAGCCCUAUGUAGCAAUACAGGGUGAUGGACUGCCUUUUGCAUAAUGAGCCUGCGAGUUGUGGUGUCUGGCAAGGUUAAGCAAACGCGAAGCCGUAGCGAAAGCGAGUCUGAAUAGGGCGCUUAGUCAGAUGCUGCAGACCCGAAACGAAGUGAUCUAUCCAUGAGCAAGUUGAAGCUAGUGUAAGAACUAGUGGAGGACUGAACCCAUAGGCGUUGAAAAGCCCCGGGAUGACUUGUGGAUAGGGGUGAAAGGCCAAUCAAACUUCGUGAUAGCUGGUUCUCUCCGAAAUAUAUUUAGGUAUAGCGUUGUGUCGUAAUAUAAGGGGGUAGAGCACUGAAUGGGCUAGGGCAUACACCAAUGUACCAAACCCUAUCAAACUCCGAAUACCUUAUAUGUAAUCACAGCAGUCAGGCGGCGAGUGAUAAAAUCCGUCGUCAAGAGGGAAACAACCCAGACUACCAGCUAAGGUCCCUAAAUCUUACUUAAGUGGAAAACGAUGUGAAGUUACUUAAACAACCAGGAGGUUGGCUUAGAAGCAGCCAUCCUUUAAAGAAAGCGUAAUAGCUCACUGGUCUAGUGAUUUUGCGCGGAAAAUAUAACGGGGCUAAAGUAAGUACCGAAGCUGUAGACUUAGUUUACUAAGUGGUAGGAGAGCGUUCUAUUUGCGUCGAAGGUAUACCGGUAAGGAGUGCUGGAGCGAAUAGAAGUGAGCAUGCAGGCAUGAGUAGCGAUAAUUAAUGUGAGAAUCAUUAACGCCGUAAACCCAAGGUUUCCUACGCGAUGCUCGUCAUCGUAGGGUUAGUCGGGUCCUAAGUCGAGUCCGAAAGGGGUAGACGAUGGCAAAUUGGUUAAUAUUCCAAUACCAACAUUAGUGUGCGAUGGAAGGACGCUUAGGGCUAAGGGGGCUAGCGGAUGGAAGUGCUAGUCUAAGGUCGUAGGAGGUUAUACAGGCAAAUCCGUAUAACAAUACUCCGAGAACUGAAAGGCUUUUUGAAGUCUUCGGAUGGAUAGAAGAACCCCUGAUGCCGUCGAGCCAAGAAAAGUUUCUAAGUUUAGCUAAUGUUGCCCGUACCGUAAACCGACACAGGUGGGUGGGAUGAGUAUUCUAAGGCGCGUGGAAGAACUCUCUUUAAGGAACUCUGCAAAAUAGCACCGUAUCUUCGGUAUAAGGUGUGGUUAGCUUUGUAUUAGGAUUUACUCCGAAAGCAAGGAAACUUACAACAAAGAGUCCCUCCCGACUGUUUACCAAAAACACAGCACUCUGCUAACUCGUAAGAGGAUGUAUAGGGUGUGACGCCUGCCCGGUGCUCGAAGGUUAAUUGAUGGGGUUAGCAUUAGCGAAGCUCUUGAUCGAAGCCCGAGUAAACGGCGGCCGUAACUAUAACGGUCCUAAGGUAGCGAAAUUCCUUGUCGGUUAAAUACCGACCUGCAUGAAUGGCGUAACGAGAUGGGAGCUGUCUCAAAGAGGGAUCCAGUGAAAUUGUAGUGGAGGUGAAAAUUCCUCCUACCCGCGGCAAGACGGAAAGACCCCGUGGACCUUUACUACAGCUUGACACUGCUACUUGGAUAAGAAUGUGCAGGAUAGGUGGGAGGCUUUGAGUAUAUGACGCCAGUUGUAUAUGAGCCAUUGUUGAGA
rnacentral:rRNA from 1 species